UACGAAGGGGGGCUAGCGUUGUUCGGAAUCACUGGGCGUAAAGGGCGCGUAGGCGGAUUGAUAAGUCGGGGGUGAAAUCCCCAGGCUCAACCUGGGAACUGCGUCUGAUACUGGAUGGCUUGAAUCCGGGAGAGGGAUGCAGAAUUCCAGGUGUAGCGGUGAAAUGCGUAGAUAUCUGGAGGAACACCGGUGGUGAAGGCGGCAUCCUGGACCGGUAUUGACGCUGAGGCGCGAAAGCGUGGGGAGCAAACAGG
rnacentral:rRNA from 1 species